CACAGGUUGCCCAGAGAGCUGGUUGAUGCUCUGUCCCUGGAGACACUCAAGGUCAGGCUGGAUGGGGCUCUGAGCACCUGAUGGCACUGUAAGCGUCCCUGUUCAGUGCAGGGGAGAUGGACCAGAUGGCCUUUAAGGGUCCCUUCCAUCUCAAGCCAUUCUGUGAUACUGUCCACACGAGCUACGGUGCUCACAAGCCCAGACAUUUGCUGUACACCUCAGAAGGCAUCUGCACCCUCUUCAUCCAUAAGCGUGGGAUGGAGAAAGUCUCAACCAUCAGAGAAGGAAGAAGGAGCGAUCCACAAAUACUGACGUUCUGCUUCAGGACUAAGAACUACUUAAGAUGCUACUACUCAAGUAUUCUAAGAAAAAACUCCACUUUUCCUCACAGGAUUUGAAAGACUCAGUACAAUUUACAGAGAGUUUUAGAAAUAUGUAGCACUUACCUUUUUUCAGAAAAGUAGGAAAAUUCCAGCAGUCAUAGUCCUCAAACUGUUACUUGGACCAAAAAAAAAGCCCCAGCAAACUGUGAAGAGAAAUUUGCUUAUACAACAGCAAUGACUAUUUCAGAACACCUGGAAAAUCUCAGCAGUUAAUCACUCAAGAUCUGAGGUAAAAUUUUAGCGUAGCAAAGUUUUAGUUUUGUUGAGAUACCAUCUGAACUUCAAGCUUUUUGAGCUCAUCCGUACUACUAGACUACAGUGAUUUUAACUUCCAAAUUGGGAUAGCUUCUGCUAGACUUAAUGCCCAGAACAGCUGGCUUGGCAGGAGAAAAGCCUCAAAGGCCCUUCAUAUUCUGAGGCAUGAGUACUUAGGGAGGUUCAAAUAAGCAAAAAUGUAAUGCUUCUGCACACAAGAGAAGAGGCACCAGCAAAAUUAGCAAAUUUGUGCUUUCAGAACCACCAUAUCAAAUCUGCAGAGACUGCAUCUACAGCCUAACUUGCAAGUUUUAUCAUUAUUGUACAAACAUGUCAAGCUGCACUUCCUCUUUGUGGAAUCAUACAAUAUUCCCACUCAACAGGAUCCUAUUCUAUUACUGAAAGCUGGACACUCCUUUCCAUCACUUAGCUUGUUUUUGAAUACUGGUUUUAAAUGUGCAUUACACUUUUGGAUGAUGAACAUCUAUUGUGUCAAACAACAGAAAGUAGCUCACGAAUUCCAAAGUAUCAACAAAAUUUUAAAGUGGAGGGACUCAGUCUUGUGGCUUACACCUCCCAUUGUUUGCAUUUUGGUGUUGUUUGCUUGAUUGAAUUUGUUCUGUAAUUGCGUCUCGAGUUACAGUCCACCCAUGUCUAGUCGUUCUGUUUAUGAAAUUCACAAAUGUAUCCCAAGACCUUUUCAUUCUUGAGAAGAAACACAAGCAACAGCUUUUCUACAUACAUUUUUGUGGUCUCCUAGGGCAAACCUAGGGAUGUGUUCGCACAUUCUAAGUUGUAUGAAUCUGUACUGCAAGAUCUGCACUAAAACUGAGGGCUGCAGACAAAUAAUGACAGGAGCCCUGUCCGGGCUCUGACUUGAGGCUAACUAUGCUGAGCGGGACACAGAAAAAUAUUGGACAUGACAUAAGAAAAUUGCUGAACAUCACAAAUAAUAUCAGGACACACUGAUGAAAGUUAUAGCAAGUGCCAGGCAGAAUGGCUGUAUCUUGCACGUGGCUAAGGGCAGGCUGGAUGAGACACGGCCAAACUCCGGAGAUAACAGGGAGAGAACUGGGAGCCUUUCAGGAAGUACAGUCUGAAAAGCCUCAACCCAGAUGAAGACUGGCUAGGGUCAGCUCUCGGCCUCAGGAGAACUGGGUGGGACCUCUACAGGAAGAUCGCUGCCAUCAUUUCAAACAGUGGACAACAGAGGGCGUGAUCUCCCCUGCCCUCUUUUCCAAACAGAAGAUUUCUGCUCUUGUGUCUAUUUUCCCUCUCACGGGUACACAGCAGAUCUCAAAGACAAGUACAGUGCCUCCCAGAAACUAUCAUAUCAAAUGCCAAGGUGAAUUUGUUUCCGUGUGCUCAGCCUAACAACAAGAUUCACAUGCAAUAUUGCAGUGCCUGAAGACUAAAACCAAUUUGGAGUUUAUGGGACAGCUCUAUAGAAAGGAAGUUAUUAAGAAGGGAUGUAAUUAUUGAGCUUAAUUACACUGUCAUCUGGCAUUUUUGUUAAAGUCAAACUACAUCUGUAUGCAGCGGCUGAGAAUCGGGUUCAGAAGCCGUAAUGACUAUUUUGGUGGACCAGAAAACUGGGACCUGAAGUAAUCUGGCAGUUGGAUAAUGCUUACAUCAAAGAGGCUGUGUAGCUCUACUGAUGUCAGGCACACAAAUACAGUCAGGGUCACUGCUUCAUUUUACAAGGCUCAGUAUUAACCUGCUCAUACUUCUGGUGAAGCAGAUUUCCCAUCGUGCAAGAGUGAAGCUCCAGAAAG
ensembl:lncRNA